rfam:Ancylostoma duodenale strain Zhejiang A_duodenale-1.0_Cont247589.1, whole genome shotgun sequence.
CCAACGGCCCUCUUUAGGGCCACAACUCGCUUUUUCGAAUACUCG